rnacentral:rRNA from 1 species
CGUGUAGGCGGUUUAUUAAGUCUGAUGUGAAAGCCCCGGGCUCAACCUGGGAAGUGCAUUGGAUACUGGUAGACUUGAAUACGGGAGAGGGCAGUGGAAUUCCUGGUGUAGGAGUGAAAUCCGUAGAUAUCAGGAGGAACACCGGUGGCGAAGGCGGCUGCCUGGACCGAUAUUGACGCUGAGACGCGAAAGCGUGGGUAGCAAACA